ensembl:lncRNA
CUUUUUUAAUAUUUGUAAGAGUUCUUUGACAGAAGCACUUUAUGUACCUGAUCCAAGCCCCUGGCAUCUGUAGUGCUGUAGUCACAGGCCUGCUGGGUAAAGGGCAUGAGGUUUAAGUUGUCCCUCACUCCAUCUGGUGUCUGGGUGGUGUUCAAAACAUUGAAGCACAGUCUGACAGUAAUUGGAAAGGAAUGUUACAACCAAAUGUCAUGGCUUUCACUUACGAAGUCGUUGCUUUUGCACCGUGUUCAUUGUUUGGCAAAAACUGCAUGCACUCCUGGUUUCUUCCAAGCGGGCCCCCAGUGUCUGGUCUGGAGCGUGAAGUCACAAGCUCUGCUGGUCGGCUACUGCGACGGCGGUACAUUCCCCGACAGGAUUUCCUGCACGGCCUCUGCCAUGAAAUCACAAAGACCCCCAAAAAUUUCAACGGCAUUCACAAUGAUUCCAAUUUUUUGGGGGACUUCUUCUCCGCUUGUGCCUGUACAGUUUAUGACCGUUCCAACAAAUAAUACAAAGUCCACCUUUUUAACAUGUAGCAUUUCACUAUCCUUCGGUUGAUGAGAAACCUUCACUAGUGGUGGUGGCUCCGAAUACCAUAGUUUCUUCCACCGGCACUCGUUCCUUCCAAUCUUCUUGCCACCUCGUUCUCCUCCACCCUAACAGGGCACUCGAGGAAUCCGGGCGCAUUUUCACCUCCACAGUUGCAGCAUUUCACUUCAUCUGGCAUAUGAUACUCUUCCCUUCUGCACACACUUGACCAAAUGACCAUGUAUUUUACAUUGAUGACACUGAAAGGGGCUUGUGCACAAAAGCUCUUACAGGGCAUUUCAUGAAUCCUAUCUUUCUAUGAGAAGGGAGAGACUGAUCAAAAACAGUAGCUUGGAUGAAGUGAAUUUAUUUCAGUGGAGGCUGCCUCAUAAUAAUGGCUGGAAUUAAGCGGGUAGAAUGGCAUCCAACACGUCGUUGAUUACCAUUCCACUAAUUCCCCUCCAGCCAUUACCACCAGCCCGCCUCCCCAAUUAAGGUGCCACCAACGUCCUGUGAUUUAUUUUCUCCAUCCACCGUACAGGUCAGUCGACGGGCACCAACCACUCCAUCGAUGUCUUCAGUAAUGUCCUCUGCCUUGUAUUUCUUCCGCCGCACCAGAAAUAGCCCCCUUUGAUUGGCGCCUUGCUACGAAAAUCCGUACAGGAAACAAUUCACUCAGAUAUAUUUUUGAGUCUUAACACGCUUCUUCUGCUCCGCAGACACACAACCAAAUCUAAAUAUAGACCACUUCUUGUGACUCUUACCGCCUCCACACUUUCCUUCAAAACAAUCCAGAUUUUCCUUGUGAUGUUAAAUUGACUUCCCAAGUAGCGUUGAUCCAAAACUCUCACUCCCGACUAAAAACCAGUCUAGUGGUUUCCUUUUUACUUAUCUUGUUUCCCUUUUUCUUCGCCAUGGUAACCCACUCAUUCUCACUUCCUGUACAUAUUAGCUUCACCCGACUCACUAGCAGUUUCAAACAAAACCUCAGUUUCCGC